CCUACGGGUGGCUGCAGUGAGGAAUAUUGGUCAAUGGGCGCGAGCCUGAACCAGCCAAGUAGCGUGAAGGAUGACUGCCCUACGGGUUGUAAACUUCUUUUAUAAAGGAAUAAAGUGAGGCACGUGUGCCUUUUUGUAUGUACUUUAUGAAUAAGUGUCGGCUAACUCCGUGCCAGCCGCCGCGGUAAUACGGUGGCUCCGCGCGUUAUCCGGAUUUGUUGGGUUUAAAGGGAGCGUAGAUGGGUUGUUAAGUCAGUUGUGAAAGUUUGCGGCUCAACCGUAAAAUUGCAAUUGAUACUGGCAGCCUUGAGUACAGUUGAGGUAGGCGGAAUUCGUGGUGUAGCGGUGAAAUGCUUAGAUAUCACGAAGAACUCCGAUUGCGAAGGCAGCUUACUAAACUGCAACUGACAUUGAUGCUCGAAAGUGUGGGUAUCAAACAGGAUUAGAUACCCCAGUAGUC
rnacentral:rRNA from 1 species